rfam:Tuber melanosporum whole genome shotgun sequence assembly, scaffold_17, strain Mel28
CUAACUAUCAAGCAGGCUUAGAUCAAGUGUAGUAUCUGUUCUUUUCAGCUUAAUCUCUGAAACGGCUCUCCGGAGCCUGUUUUCUUGGUUAAUCUUAUUUUUGUUUGCCCAGGGACCAAGCCUCUGGCUCGCUACGCUUGGUCCCACCGUGUCGCUGGUAUUGCACUGUCUCCAGCUGACGCGAAGUUGU